CUAGAGAUCGGCUAGAGGCUAUCGGAAUUCCUGGUGUACCGGUGGAAUGCGUAGAUAUCAGGAAGAACACAGGGCACGAAGAUCGGCUAGCUGGCCCGAUUCUGACGAUCAUGUCCGCAAGCAUGGGGAACAAACAGGAUUAGAUACCCUGGUAGUCCUACGCAGUUAACGAUGGGCUAAUAGAUGCCGGGCAUAUAGACGUGCUCGGUGUCGCAGUCAACGCAGUAAGUGCCCAGCCUGGGGAUUCAGCUCGCAAGGCUGAAACUCCAAGGAAUUGACGGGGGCCCGCACAAGCGCUGGAGCAUCUGGUAUAAUGCGAAGCGACGCGAAGAACCUUACUUGGGCGUGACAUCUUGGUGAAAGCUCCUGGAAACAGGAGCCGUCUUUCGGGACACCAUGACAGGUGCUGCAUGGCUGUAGUCAGCUCGUAUCGUGAGAUGUUGGGUUAAGUCCCCCAUCGAGUGCAAACCCUUGCCGUAUGUGGCACAGCUGGUUCGCACGGGGACCCAUGGGGUAACUGCCGCUGAUAACACGGAGCAAGGUGGGGACGAAGUCACGUCAUCAUGGACCAUACGUCCAGGGCGACACACGAGCGACAAUGGCCGAUACAAAGGCCUGCGAACCCGCGAGGGGGAGCGAAUCCCAAUAACCCGGUGUAAGUUCAGAUCGCAGUCUGCAACCGGAUUGCACGAAAUCGGUAUCGCUAGUAUUCGUGCAUCAGCCAUGGCACAGGGAAUACGUUCAACGGGGCAUUGUACUACACCGCCCGUAACGCCAUGGAAGUCUCGAGUCCCCGCAGUCACUGACCCUACC
rnacentral:rRNA from 1 species